UUAUUUGAGAGUUUGAUCCUGGCUCAGGAUGAACGCUGGCGGCGUGCCUAACACAUGCAAGUUGAGCGAUUUACUUCGGUAAAGAGCGGCGGACGGGUGAGUAACGCGUGGGUAACCUACCCUGUACACACGGAUAACAUACCGAAAGGUAUGCUAAUACGGGAUAAUAUAUUUGAGAGGCAUCUCGUGAAAAUAAAAAGUGAGCGAGUACAGGAUGGAUCCGGGUCUGAUUAGCUAGUUGGUAAGUAAACGGCUUAUUAAGGCGACGAAGAGGAGCCGAACUGUGAGGGAGUUCGUCGACAUUGUGACUAAGACACGUUCCAAACUCCUACGGGAGGGAGCUGUGGGGAUAAAGGCACAAAGGAUGAAAGCAUGACGCAGUAACGCCGGGUGAGUG
rnacentral:rRNA from 1 species